UUGCUCUCCUCUGGGAGUCAGGGUCAGGGGCGGCUGGACUUGGUACCUUGGAGGGAGGGACCGAGAGCAAGAACUUUGCUGUCUUUUGUGGAACCUCUUCUCUGUGUGGCUCUCAGGUGCCCUCGUCCCCCCACCAGGGACCCCGCUUACCUCCUCCUCCAGGCACACGAGGGGCACCAGGUCAAGGUCAGCUGCCCACUCGGAGGGCAGAACGUGUGCCCAACGGCAGGAAAACAGUGCUGACGUUGAGUGUUGAGAGCCCUGGGGACCGUCAUGAGCGCAGGCGAGGACACAGACCAGCGCAGGUCAGGGCCUCAGAGGACCACAGGCAGCACCGGGCCUGAGCCCAGUGGCUGUCAAACUCAGCCUCGACGCCAGGCUCUGCACCAGGCUCCGGGUCUGGCCUCAUCAUGGGCCUGAGGCACCCCCCAACUCACCGGGAGCAUCUUCAAAGUGACACUGCGCUGCGCCAGGAGAGCACCCAGGGCCCGCGCCUGCCCAGGCUCACCAGCCGCUCCCCUCCACAGCCCUCGAUUUCUCUGCCGAGCUCGCUGUUGAAAGAUAAGACCGUUGUCCCUCGGAGUCCAUGAGGCUGGAUUCCAGAGCACUCCUGGACACCGAGACCUGCAGAUGCUGAUGUGCCUUCUGUAAUACGGGUAGAAUUUGCACAGGAGUGACGCCCGCCCUGCAUAUACACAACAGUCUGUUACCUAAUGCAAGAUAAAGGCUGUGUGCCCAGUUGUUACACUGUAUUGUUUGGAGAAAGAGUAACCAGGCUGAGGUCAGGGAGUUCAGCACAACGCGGCAUCUCCC
rnacentral:lncRNA from 1 species